AAGCCACCAUCUAUUUAUAAUUGACACUUAAGCUUCUUGAACCAAAAUCGGUAAAAUAAUAAUAAUAAUAAUAAUAAAUUGAACAUCGUCUUUUCCACGUUGAUAUGAGUUGAAAAUACGAACUAGGUCGAGGUGACGAGAAAAUAAAAAAAAAAGGUUUAUUGCUCUAAAAUGCUAGAAAUAGUUGAUGUUGAGGGCCAGGGUGGCAAAACUGCAAUAGUUGGAGGAUGCAAAGUGUAUUAACUCAAAAACUAAAGGAGCCAAAUUUUUUUCGCAAAUUGCCUAAACAUAACUCCGCCGUACAUUUUAUUAACGUAUCAGAACGGUCCAAAGCAACGAGAAAAGGCCAAGAGAUGAGUGAUGGUUUUUGUCUCAAUUGAAAGGGUUAUGAUUGGAUUACGUUAGUAUAAAUACAUAUAUAAUCAAAUUACAAGAGACGCCCAGAAAAGUAACAAUCGGGUUCCUGGAAAUUUCUGUGGAGAGCGUUGAAUUUCAUGGACACCAGAUGGGGGUCUCACGCUCGAUCGAGAGGUCACUGUCUAUAGCUACGGUGUGCAUUCUUGUUAGAGGACUUUCAAUUCAAACCUCCUCUCAAAAUGCAAGCCCCUCUCUCUCUCUCUCUCACGGUCUUGACGACUUUAUUAACCUUUCUCCAAGAGGGUGCUUCCAAGGGGUCUGUAUCUGGCCAUUUAUCCGUCUGUUUCAAUGACCAUCAUAGCUUGGCUUAUUUGGUCCAAGGAUAACGAUAUAAUAUAAAAUCACAAUCGUUAAUGUUCCCAAGAAACCAAUGUACGUAUGUGUUCCUCCAAUAGGGCGGAACCCAAAAUUCCCCAGUUAUGGGUUCAAGCCUACAAUCGGCUCCGAAUUUGAGUUUCAACAUCUUUCAACUCGAAUGUUAGGCAUCAGUAUGCAUCUGGAGUAGACUAGUGAAGUCGCUCAUGCAAUAUGUGGCUUCUUUCUUAGUUACUAAUCAUAUUAAAACAAAACUGAUCAGAACCAAAUAUAAAAAUGUUCCCGAGAACUAACUCAGUUUCAGUUGCCCAGAGAUAUUAGUCGAAUGACCGUAAAGUGAAGCUCGGUUCGUAAUUUAAUUCUCAAGCCCUCUCGUCUAUCUCUUGCAAAGUUCAGAAUUUCCCUUAAACCAACAUAAUUAAUCUAAAACAUCCAUCACCAUGUUGAUUGAAUGCAGAGGAGAUUUCCUAAAUAGGUAAUGUUAACGAAGGAUAGAAGAGGAAAACAAGUGUCUCAUGUCUUGUAAAUCAUCCCAUAUCAUUUGUAAAAGGUGUUGUUAUCAAAGCGUGCGUUGGCUUUGCCAGCGAGCAGAGUUGCGUACGGGAAGUUGGCAGCAUUAUAUGCGAUUAUGGCUCUGUGUAAGUUCACAUGAAUCCCGAUGUUUAGAACAGCAAAUUAGGGAAAGAAGCCGAGGAUCAGAAAGAAAAUUCUGAUAAAACACGCAACUGAUUCGGAUGGAUUACGAUGAUACCUCCUUAGUCAUUCCUUUGAUUUUCAAGUAGGACAGGAACUAUAUAUGACAAGAAGAACAUAGGGUUGUGUUACGACCUAGGCACAUAGGGUUUUCUUUUCUUUCUUUUUUUCUUUUUGGAGGGAGCACAUGGGCUUUUCUAGAUUAACAGGUGGCAUUAGCUUAAUUGAUUAAUUCCUCUCGUUUACUUUUAUUUCUUGAAAUCGAUCGAUGUUCAAAUUUCUUAUGCUGCUGGUACAGGAUUUGCGAGGUGUGACCAUUCUAGAACCAUUUUCCCUAACAGUACGAGCGUUUAAUGCAAACUGGUCAAAAUACAUACUCAUAGAUAAAUUGUGCUUGAGAGCUGAACCACCAUAGAUAUUGCAUGAAACAAAACAUUUUACGGCAAUAUAUAUAUGCCUGUAUGGUUUAUUGACCGAAGAAGUGCAUUUCAACCAAUCAGAAACGGUGGGAAUUAGAUCAUAAUUAUUUUUGUUAGUAAUGAAGACAAAAACGAGGCUACUUCCAGGAAAUGGAUUGAGGAGAGUUUAGAAUUUAGAACGCAUUGCCCAUGGAAAAGGAGGAUUUAUAUUAUACUUAAUUUUACUUAGAAAAGUUUUAGGUUACUGGUUGAAUGUUCUUUGAUUCUUGCGUCCCCAUCGCAAUUGACAAGUUGCUGUGGGAAAGGGCAAUAUCCACAGUCCGAGCCAAAGAUAAGGCAACUAGUGGGUGUCAUGCUAUGCUAUCAAUGACAGAGAUAUUUGCUUGUAGGCUAGGCCAGUGUUAACGUUUUAUGCCCUCCUCAAGGCUGACCAAAUUUUUCAUUUGGAUAUGGAUUCUAGUAGUUAUUAUGUCCCUGAUAUCGGUCAGGUUGGAUUGCGAUUCCAAUUAAGUGAGCAAAUCACAUACCAAUUAGUUAAUAAAUGACAUUUAUUUGUCACAAAUGCGCAUACUCUUUUUUUGUCAAAUCAUUUCAGCAAGAACAAACAAUACGUAUCUAAAUCUUGGGAUACUCUUCCAACCAACCAACCAGUCGAGAACCUACCUUUAUCAAAUCGUUAUAAUAUAUCUUUUUUUGAUAAAAAAAAAAAAACUUCAAAAAAUAGCAAUUCAAACGGUCGGCCGUAUACAUCAUCAAAGUCUCAGAAAGUACUACUACUACUGGUGCAGUCCACUGGGCAGAGGGCUGACUGGUUUUCUUGCAUUAGGGCUAAGCCAGAGCUGUUUAACUCUAGCAGUAUUUCAAGGACAAGAAGAAAGCAGCAUGAGAAUCCCUUGAACGCCUUCCUUUCUUUCAUAUGAUUAUCUUUCUCAUGAAACAAUCCUGUAGCAUCGACAUCUGGACAGCAUCGUGUCCCAAGAAUGGCAAUUUUACAUUCCUGCACCCUGGGCUCUAUAUACGGACAUGGCAACAUGGACAUUUGCCAUAAUGAAGUUCCAUUCUAUUCUAUCCAGAGUAAAGGAGCCAAGGAAAAUUGAGUUCAGAAAAUCUUAUCAGAUGAUGUCAUAAACUGUUAGCCUGACCUGGCGGCCUAGCUUAUUCAUUUGACCCACGUGUAGCAUUCUCUAAUUGGUCCAAGCUAAUAAAAUAUAUUACUCACAAAAAACAAAGACAUCCUCCUUGGACACACUGAAUCAGGCCACAACAUCACUCUUUUCCAUUUUGCCCUUUUCUGCCCCUCUUAUUCUUCGUCCAAUUUUUGCAUUCAACUGUUGCUUUCAUAAUUUCACUGAUGUUCAACCCCCUUCUCACCUCCACUUCCCCCGCCCCCCCCCCCCCGGGGCAGUCCAAGUUUCCAACUGCCCCUCUCCGGGGGGUAUAUAUAGGAGACUAGUCCUCCACAUAGAGGUCACCAAACUUUUACAACAUUCCAAGCAGAGCAUCCUCAUUCCCACGGAACACGAAAUGGAUUCAACAGUUUUCUUCUCUAGGAUUUCUGACUUCUCUUCUGAUUCAUCGUUCGGAUCAGUCGAUUCUUUUCCAUGGGAUAGCCAAAAUUUCCACAAUUCGUUACCAUUUAAUGAAAAUGACUCUGAAGAAAUGCUUCUCUAUGGUCUCCUGGCACAAGCACAGGCUGUUCAAGAAACAUCCGAAAUCAAUUCUUCUGAUCAAAUUAAGGAAGAAGAAGUUAGUUCGAAGCCCGAAGAAAAACCCAAGAAGGAGAAAGCUUAUAGAGGAGUAAGAAGGCGCCCGUGGGGGAAAUUCGCGGCAGAGAUAAGGGAUUCAACUAGGAAUGGUAUAAGAGUGUGGCUGGGCACAUUUGACAGCGCAGAAGCCGCAGCUUUAGCUUACGAUCAAGCUGCUUUUUCGAUGCGAGGUCAAGCAGCAAUCCUUAAUUUUCCGGUUGAUAGAGUUCGCGAAUCACUCAUGGAGAUGAAGGCAACUAUGGAAGACGGAUGCUCCCCUGUCGUUGCAUUGAAGAGAAAACACUCCAUGAGGAGAAGAAAUGUGAUCAGAAAAAGUAAAGCAAGAGAAGUCAAGGUAGAAAAUUUAGUGGUGUUCGAGGACUUGGGCAAUGAUUACUUGGAAGAGCUUUUGAGCACAAGUUAAAGCCUAGUCCAUGGAGAAUCAAAAGAUUCUGAGCUAGUUAUUCAUUUUAAUCUCCUUUCUGAUUCUUCUCUUCUUCGUUACUUUAUUUGGUUGCAGAUGAUAUCCUGUGUGAUAUUUUUGUAAAAAUGUUUCUUUAAUUCUACUUGUGGUAGAUUGUUUUCCCAAGGCUAUUUUGUUCCUACUUUUCAAACUUUUAAGUAAAGGCGGCCGGCUACCAAUAUCUCUCUUGUUUCUAUCUUCCAGCCAAAUACCAGAAGGCUAAAAUAUUAAAUAUGGCAACAUGCAGACCAGAAACCAACCUUUUUAUAUACAGUAUCUCUUUAUGCAGAGGGUUAUCCAAUCUCCCUCUUAACUAACCGAGCUUUUAACCUUAUUAAAUUUCUCAUGGGUCCUUACAUCACGAUUUAUUAUUACUCUAUAAAAAGAGGUCCUAUUCUGAAUUGGAGGAAGAGUCAGGCUGUUGUAAAUACUUCAGUAUUUCCUUUGACGUUCAAUCUUUUCUUCUGAAGGGGUGAGGAGAUGAAGUUUGAAUUCAACCUUACACAUUGCCAAUAUUCCGGCUCUCGGGUGGGUUCAAUAAAAAAAAAAAAAAAAAUUGACACGUACUUUUAUCUCAGCUUUCUAUUUUUUGUUUUAUAUACCAGAUUCAUGAUAAUCUAUUGAGGCCUAGCUCAUAUUCCUGGUCAAACCGGAUUCAAUGCACUUUUACUUUCUCCAGAAACCGCAAAGAAAGGAUUAACCCAAUUUUUAUUUGGUUCAAAUGACAAAAGAAAUGAUGAUGAUUCAAAGCCUUAAUUAACUUAACCUGGUCUGUUUCUGCAAGAAUCAACAAUUUCUUUUCUCAAUGAGCAAUUUUGAUAAGAUGCUGUCCUUAUCUUUCCUUAAAUUGCAGAGGAGAGGCAGAGUGUCAUCCAGUGGGCCAGAAUUAUUUAUAAAUCAGAAGCAUAGAUGUAUGCAUGAUGCAGUACGUGCUCGUUCUUGGUCAUGAAUGUACAAACGGAUCCAUUCAUUAGAAAAACUAUUUUGGUCUAAUGUCAAAAGGGCAAAAAAAAAAAAAAAAGACUCAGAAUCUUCUCCCUGCAAUUAGGUCACAUGCAUUAGGUAGAGCAACACAUAUUACUUAUUAGAUAAACUAAUCUGCUUUUGCAGUAGGGCCAUAGUAUUAGGUAGAGUGCCACGCAUUUAUCUUUUCAUUAAAACAAAUUAAUUAGAAUAACCAAUGUGUUAAUGUGUAUUUAUUCAAUUUCUUCUUGAAGUAUGAGUCAUACUGAAAAUCAUGCAUGACUGAGGCUGAUAAUCUCACAUGCUUUUUUACUUUUCAGCUCACCGUCUCUCGCUAGCAAAAGGUGCCAACUUUGGUUGAAAGAUAUAUUCAUCAUUUUUGUUUUACAUGCAGUAGCUAAGAUGUACAAUUUAGUAGAAAAGUAAAUGCAUUAGCAAAGAUGUAUUUAAGAGAUAUGUACCGCAAAGAUGAAAUUGUAUUAAGUAAAUUCAUCAGGAAAGCAGACGGGUGAGGUCAGAUGAAGCAGAUUGAUCAGAAAAAUCAGAAAAUACAAUUCGGGGGAAAAAAAAGAUGCUGAACAAAACCAAGAAACAUUUUUCGGACUAGGCCCUGUUUGAUAAUUCAAUUCAGUACUUAAAUUUAAUGAAUUCGAAUUUUAAUAUGUUCAAUUGCGUUUAAUAACUAAAAAUGGAACCCCUGAAUUAAUUAAGUGGCACUGAAUUUAUUAGGCAAAACUUGGCUCAAAAAAUGAGUGAUAAACUAUUCACUUAUCACUUAAUGUGAUAUAUACUCCAAGUGAAUCAAAUUUAUUACUUAUUCAGACUUCAGAGUUCAGAUUUUAUAUUUCAAUUUUCAAAUUUCAAUUUGAUCGAACGCGCCGUAAAACCAGUUAAGUUUUCAGAUAUGAGUUGGUAGGGCUUGGGAUAUAUACUGAUGUAGACAUUUAUGAACGACUAUUAUUGGAAAUUGGAAAAGGAAUUAUUGGCGAGCAUAAGAGGAACCACGUAAACGGACGCAAGGUGAAGGGGAGUUCUCGUGAUUCGUUUGUGUUUCACAAAAUUUUCCUAUUUGCAUGGUAAAGUUCAAGUUUAUUACUGCAUUCUCAAUAUUCUUGGUCAAAGUUCAUUCAAAUUCAAAGUCUUAACAAUCACCAUCCUAAUUAAUAAAAGGGCAUUUGCAUUAAAUUUUUUCCACUGGUUUAAGUUAAAGAAUACAGCACCUUGUCAUAAUCUUGCUUUGUCCACUAAAGAUGAAAUUGUGAUCACUAGUUACUGAUGGAUGGUUAAGUGAAUCCAGUCGUGUAAUGGCCAAAGACCACUUUCCCUGCUGAGGUAGUGUCAUUCUUAUAGACCAAUCGAUCUCUGAAUUCUACGGUGGAAGCAUGCGCUAGUGAACUGGCACUGAGACUAAGACGUAACAAUUCUCAAAUUGUUUUGUCUCAUUGAACUUGAAUAAUUUCAUUAGCUCUGAGACCAUGUAACCAAUAAGAAAUCGUUUACAUCUGUUCUUGAACAUUUUCUAAUUUGAUCCUCUCUGGGCACUGAACAGCAAAAUGAUGGUCAAAGAAACUUAAUGGGCAAAUUCCACUUUAGCCCCAUGUGGUUUAGCAUUUUUUUACAUAACCCCCCUAUGAUUUCAAAAGCUAUAUAUAACCCCCUCAUGGUUUGGAUUAAAGCGUCAAAGUGACGGGAAUGAUCAUUCGUAAUGGAGUCACCUAAAAUGUCAUAAAUACCCUUAUGUAAAGUUAAAAAUUAUUUAUUAAUCAAGGGGGGUUAUGUGUAUAUUUUGAAAAUUAUAAGAGGGUUAUAUAGUAAAGUAUUAAACCAUAAGGGGGUUAGUGUGUCAUGUAUUCAUAAGGGUAAUUUCGAUAUUUUUAGAAGUUCCGUUACGAAUGACUAUUUCCAUCGCCUUGACACUUUAAUUCAAACCAUGAGGGGGUUAUGUAUAGCUUUAGAAAUCAUAGGGCGGUUAUGUAAAAAAAAAAAAGGCUAAACCACAUGGGGGUAAAAUAUAAUUUUCGCAAAUUUAAUUGGUUCUCUAUGUUAACUACUUCACCGGCUUAUUUGACAAUGCAAUAGAAAAGGUUUGAUAUCACUGGCUCGGUUAGUUUCUUGUUAGCUAUGUUCACUAUGGACUAAGUUAUUAUGCCUGGAUUUUGGUCGGAAAUAGGUUUAGCUAAAUUUGAUUCCAGGCCUUAGAAAUUCUUCGUGCAUAGGGACAAACUAAAGAGAGAUGCAGAAGAACAGAGACAGCCAAACUCUAGUAAAGAGAAAUGAGACAGAUAACUAACUUCUGAUGUAAAAAAAUGCAUUGUGCAAAAGUCAUGAUUGGUGAAUUUUCUUUAACAUGUCCGAGGUCUCAGAAGAGUUAACAGAGAGAUUCUCCAUCAGCUGUGGAAAAAAGCAUCUUUCGGCUGUUUAAUACACUUGUCCUCGAUCCCUAUGGUUGGUAAGAUUUUCCCGUGUACCUUAAUGGGCAACAAUGGAGGCUAUGCGUCACUUUCUUUGGAAGUAGACUAGUGGAGGGAUAGUGCUUCAAUCAAUUUUUAAGUCAUAAUCAUGGUAUUUAAUUAAUGCGAGGGGCUAAUUAAUCAGAGACAGAUGUUUCUGUUAAUCCUGUGUUCUCCACGUUGGCUAAGUAAAAGGAAAGUUUCUGGAUUAAAUGAACAAUUUUGCAGAAUCCUUGAACAGUAUCAAACGUCUAGAUGCAUAAUCCAGGUCAUUCGUCUACAAAAAUCAUGAUAAUUCGGUUAAGGAUUCUUCAGUUGAUGUUGCCACAAACGUCCAGGUUCAGCUUUUCCACUCUGCUCCAGCACUCUUACGCUUUCGGGGGUACUCAAAUACCUUGUAAAAGAACGUUAUCUUGGAGAUCUAGUCGAAAAUGUUGAUCUUGAUCAAUCAGAAGCAGCACGCCUUCACACCUGAUUUGCUUCCUUCUUUCUUUUUCAACAAAAAUAUGAUGAGUUCCCUUAGAUAACUGUUGCAUUCUUAGCAUUCACUGAACUCUGAAGACGGGUUCUUUGUUUCUUCAAUCUCCACCGUAGUGCAUAUUGAUUGGAGAAAUAUUCUUGCUCAGUUUACAAUUUUUAAUUAUUUUCAAUGAAAUUCUUGCCCAUUUUUUUUUUCUUUCGGUUGUUUAAUUCUUUUAGUCUAGAAAGGUAUCCAAAUCAGUUUGAGUACUCAAGUACACAAGACUAAGAGCUGUAAGGAUCUAGCCAUUGAUAUGUACACAAGACUUAUUCCACUUCUGUGUUUGGAUUGCCAAUUAUUCUACUUUAUUUAAAUCUUAUUUACAUACACUAAAUUGCUUGCAUCAUCAACACAUUUUCCAAUCACCUUUUUUAUCUCACAUACAUCAUAUCAAAAAAGUGCUACAGUACUUUUUCACAAAAUUAUCUUAAAUAUUUUACAAUCCAAACACACUGAAGCACAGGAAAAUUGACAAAAAAAAAGGGGGUUCUUCAGCCAGAUUCGUGUGUAGGAACUUUAUGAAGAAAGAUUUUUCAGAAUUCAGAUGAUCAGAUAAGAACUAGCGACAUUACUGAGUGAAAAUUCAUCAUCCGAGGAUCCCUUCAUUAUUUCUUGUGUUAAUUACAUCUACCUCCUAUGUGAUUUGGUCAAAUUACAAAACAAAACCAAACCUGCGGGUUGACCAAAUUAGAUUUACCCCUCACAAGUCCCUUAUGAGUAGGGAUGGCAAUGCACCUGCCCCGCGGGGGGCUAAUGGGGAGGGGGUGGGCGGGGACGAGGGGAAUUUUCCCCCCCCCCCCCCCGCUUAGAAACGAGACGGGGGAGUGUACUCCCGCCCCAACCCCCGCCCCACCACCCGCUUUAAAAAAAUAAAUAUAUAAAAAAUAUAUAUGUAUAUAAUUAUAUAUAAUAUAUAAUUUAAUUAGUUACAAACUUAUGAUAAUGAUAUUAUUAGUUAUAUGUAUUAUAUAAUAUCUAUUAGUAUAUAUAAUAUAAUUGAUAUUAUUAAUUAUACUAAUAAUUAUAUAUGUGUACUAAUACAAAUUAUUAAUUGGUUAUAUUAAAUUUACUAAUACAUUUAUACUAAAUCCCUAAUUAUACAUUUAUACUUAAUACAAUAACAUUUUUUCUUAAAAAAAGUACAAGCACAAUAAUGAAUUAGUGAUUGUAUAUGUGUUAAAAGUGAAAACUUGACUACUUUAGUUAUAUUUAUUUUAUUAUGUUGGAUUGUAUUCAAAUAAUUUUUGUUUGAUUGUUUUUAUAAGUUUCAAUUGUAAAAUUACAAUGAAUAAUAAUUUGAUGAUGUGUUAAUAUUUUAGUACUUGAUUAUUAGCUAAAAUUUAACUGUAAUAAAAUUAUAUAAUAAAUUUUUACUACCCUCACGGGGGCACCCGCGAGGAAAGCCGGGCUGGGCAGGGCGCGGACGGGGUGGGGGGCCCCCCCGUUGCCAUCCUGACUUAUGAGUGGUAGUGUUCAAAUUAAACUAAGGGUUAAUUACAUUUACCUCCCUUGAGGUUUAACCAUAUUACCAAUCAAUUCCUGUAAUUUGUCCAAAUAACGGUCUAACCCUUUGAAUGAUCACACAUUUAACAAAAACUCCCUUAAUGUCGAAAAUGCCCUUAUUGAGGCCAUGUUGCAUUAAAAAAAGAACAUAUUUUUAUUUUAUUAACCCUGAAGCAAUCCAAAAAAAUAGAAAAAAGUUUUUGCUUAUUAUUUUAUAAAACCAUAUCUUUGCUUUCAUAAAUAGUUUUGAAUCAAUAAUUAUUUUAAAUCUUAAAAAAAAUAGUUUUGAAUCAAUGAAUAUUAAAAAUUAGAUAAAUUGAAAGAAAAAUAAAAAAAAGAAGAAAUUAUUUUAAUUCUUGGAAUAUGGUUUAAAUUGAGAAAAACAUGCCUUGUGCUCUCUGCAACAUGCCUUGAACCACAAAUUCGAACCAUACUUGAGGAUUUAAAAUAAUUGCUUCUUUUUUAUUUUUCUUUCAAUUUAUCUAAUUUUUAAUAUUCAUUUUUAAGAUUUAAAAUAAUUAUUGAUUCAAAACUAUUUAUGGAAGCAAAGAUAUGGUUUUUAUAAAAUAAUAAGCAAAAAUUUUUCUAUUUUUUUGGAUUGUUUCAGGGUUAAUAAAAUAAAAAUAUGUUCUUUUUUUUAAGCAACAUGACCUCAAUAAGGGCAUUUUCGACAUUAAGGGGGUUUUUGUUAAAUGUGUGAUCAUUCAAAGGGUGAGACCGUUAUUUGGACAAAUUACAGGAAUUGAUUGGUAAUAUAGUCAAAACUCAAGGGAGGUAAAUGUAAUUAACCCUUAAACUAACGGAAGCAAACAAAUGAUGAUAAAGCUGCCCUCUGGAAAAAAAUUAUAUUUACCUUCCUUGAAGUUUGAUCAAAUUACAAAACGACCCUAGAAUUUGACCAGAAUGCAGUUCAACCCCUCGAAUAGCUUUCUAUCAAUGAGAAAUCCCCUAAUGCUAUGCAAGAAAAAAUAAAAUGCAAAUUGAAAGAAAACUAUUGAUCACCAAACUAGCACGAAAUGGUAAGCAAGAGAGAGAGAGAGCCUCUUCCUUUCUCCUUUUUAUUUUUGCCUAAAACUUAUUUUAGAUGGUACCACACUUUCUAAUACAAUUUUUUUCCAUAUAACAAAAGUCUAUUAGAUAUAAAAAGUAUGAUUUGGCAUGGGAGAAUAAUUUAGUUGAACUAUUUAUUCUUUUAGGCAUGAUAUAGUAUUAUACUUUUGACCCCUGAAUAUGUUGCUUUAUUUGUCUUAUACUUUUAAUUUCUUAGUGGAUAUCUCUAUCAAUAAAAAUUAACAUUCAAUGUGCAGAGAUAGAUUUAAAAUUAAUAGUUUAUUUUAUGUUUUGGAUAAUGAAGUUUGAUUUUUCGUACAUUAACAUGGAAAUGGUUCCUAAUAUCAAAUUACAAUAGGCAGCUAAAUAAAUUACACUAGUGAACAAAGCACCAUUGUUAAUUUUGUCAUAAAAAGAAUGGGCAAAGAAUUGGAUUAGUAAGUAAUAGGAAUUUUCAUAAUUUUUUAAAACAUUCUUGCUUUAAUUGAUGCAAUUGACCGGUGGGAAAUGCUUAUUUAAUAAACAUAUGACUAUUUAAAACAUUCGGAUUGUUUUGCACAAAUUAUAGGGCUCACCUUGUUAUUCAGACAAACCUUAGGGAAGUAAAUGUAAUUUGGACAAAACUCAAGAGAAAUAAAUGUAACCUACCUAAUUUACAAAGAGUAUUUUGGGGCAAUUAGAUUUACGUUUUACUGAUGCAAGCAACAUUUUAUAACGGAGAUUAACGUCAGGGGAGCAUUUGAUAAAUGUUUUGCCAAAAAAAAAGGUGGCUUAGAAGAAACCAAAAUUGGGGUGUAUUUAGGCUUCAAACAGAAGUGACAGAUAUUCCACAUAGUGACCAAUACAAGUCUCUUUGAAAAAAAAAAAAACUUAAUGUAUAUAUAUAUGUGUGUGUGUGUGUAUAAUAUAAAUCUAUUUGGAAUUCAGUAUUAUAUAUGUGCAUCUGUAAAUAUAUGUGUGUGUGAAUAUAGGGAGAUGCUAAAUCCACACCCCUAUAUAUUAAAUUCACAUCUUAUACACUUAUUAGACAAUCAUGUCUUUAGCUUUUAUACAUUAAAUUAGCACUUUUUAUAUUAUUUAAUUAUCUUUCUACAAAAUGGAGGGAGAAACCGUUUUGAUUUGAGAGUUUUGAAAUAUUUAUUUUUCAUCUACAAAUCUACAGUAAUACACUUAAAAAAUAUCAUCAAAUAACACUCUUUAUAUUUCAAAAUACACCUUAAAAAAAUAAAUAUAAAUAUAAAUAAAUCCUAUCGCCUUUUCUUCUUUCUCCAAUCACCACCGCCCACCACAACCAUCUACCACUCCCUCCUCCACCAUCACUAUUACCUCCACCGUUGCUCCUCCCCUUCUUCCUCCCUCUCUCCUCCCCCUCCAUUUUUCUCCCCUCCUUCCUCCUCUCCUCCUCCUUCUCAUUCUCCUUCUCCUUCCUCCUCCCUCUCCUCUCUUCCCCUAAGAACCAGCAGCAACUCCAGCUGCGAUCUUUUGAUUGCACUAGUCGUGACCUUCUGGUCGCAACUAGAUCUGAUUGUGACCAGAAAGGCUGCGCUAUUGUAGGUCGGAUUGGCAAUCUCCGAGUGGGUCUAAGGGGGGAGGAGGGGUAGGGAAGAAGGAGAAAAAGAGGGAGGAAGAGGGGGAGAAUGGAAAGGGGAGGGGAUGAAGGGGAAAGAGAGGGAAAAAGGAUGAGAGAGAGGAGGGAAGAGGAGGGAGGCGGUGGUGGAGAUUGGUGGUGGUGGUGAGUGGUAUAAAUUUCUUAAAAAAUAUCCAAACAUAUUUUAAAUAAAAAUAUCCCAAAAUACGUUCCAAAUAUUCUCAAAAAUACCUCAAAAACACCACCAAGAAUAGGGGAGGGAAAGAGGGAGGAGGAGAGAGGAGCGAGGGGGAAGGAGUGGUGGAAAUCAUAAGAUUCUUGUUCUUGAAAAUCUACACUUCUCCAAACCCAGAAGACAGACGGAACCCGAGGAUUCCUCCUUGAGACAAAUACUUUUAUGGUAGGAAGAAGCGAUAGCAGCCAACUCGACGUAUGUUCGCAUACUGUCAAGUUAGACAUCUGUUAUUUGAAGAUUUUGUCAUGUUAGACAUCUGUUAUUUGAAGAUUGAUUCCGGAUUGACUUGACAAAGAAGAAAGGGCAGCGGAAAGAAACUCCACCACCACCAGAGGAGAGAACAAAAGCUUUUUGCCCAAGAGGAGAGUUGGGGAAGAAGUCUACCGUACCCUGUCUUUUUUCAAAGAUUCUUUCUUGAUGCAAUUUUAAAAAUAUCUCAUUAAAAUUUUAAAUCUUAAAAUUAUCCAAAAUCUAUUUUCAAAAAUACAAUUAAAAACAUGUACAAUAAAAGUUUUUCACAUGCAUUGUUACAGUAAAAUAUUUCAAAAAUACUCCCAAAAACAAUUAAUCCAAACGGAGUCUUACCACCACCUAAUCUUUUUGUAGAAAAAAAUUUCACACAAAUUUUUAUUCAAGUCUCAUAUAGACAUUUCUUUUCCUGUUUCUCUCGUUCCAAAAUUUAUGUUUUUCUAAAGUUGUUUUAAUUCUUUUUCUCUUCUCCUUAUGACCUACUCCCUCUUUUUUUUAAAUUAAACUUUGUUUAAAAUUUACAUGUAACCAAAUGAUAAAUAUUAGUAUGAAGUCAAUAUGAUUGCAUAUUUCACCUUGGAACUUGCUCGAUUUUAAUUUUAUGGAAUUGAAAUAUGUGAAAAUUUCAAUUUACAUGCUAAUUAAUACUUGAAAAUUUUGGAUUGCUAAAUUAUAUUUUAAAUUAGUAAAUAUUCUUAAUCUCUUGUAAAAUGUUUGGAAAUAUUUUCUUUUAAAAUGUAAUUUGAUUUGUUUUUUCUCUUUUUUAUUAUAUGAAUAUAUGUUUCUUGAAACUACAAAAAGUAUCAAAUAAACAUAAAAUCUAAGGGCAUAAGUGUUUGGUAAGUGUACAAGGUGUGAAUUUAGUGUAGAAAGAUAUGAAUUUAUUCCCUCCCAAGCACGUCGGUGAAUGGUGCAUCUUUUAAGGGAUUUUAUAUCGUUGCUUUUAUUAGAUAACUUGUGUAACCUCCAAGAAAAUCAAAUUCUAUGUAAAGACACCCCUGCACCACCAUAAGUUUGAUAACCCUGCCAACGGAUCUUCUGUCCCAACACCCUAUGUCAUUCUCUGUCCCAUUUUUUAUUAUAUUACUAUUUCUCUCAUAUAAAUAUUAUGUUUUAGUUCUUUUUUAUUUCUUUAAGAUCCAAUAACAAUUAAUUGAAUAAAAAAAUAAAUACAAUAGCUUCAAAAAAAUAAUAUAUAUAGUAGAAAAUUAAAAAAUACAGCAGAAAUUUCAUAAAUAUCCAGAUUUUUUAUGAAUUUUGAUUUUUUGAUUUUAUAUGCAGGUAGGGUUAUCCGCAAUGGAUCUUCCAUCCCACGCCCUGCUGGAAACCCUUGUCUAGACUUUUUCUUUCACGUAGUACCGGAUACACCCAAAGAACAACUCAUAGACCGUCUCCAAUCGUCUUGGAGAUAUAAUCCCUUGACAACCCUCAAACUUAUAUGCAAUCUUAGGGGUGUUCGAGGCACUGGCAAGUCUGACAAAGAAGGCUUUUACACUGCCGCCUUGUGGUUGCAUGAAAACCAUCCUAGAACCCUAGCAUGCAACGUUAAGGCCAUCGCAGAUUUUGGGUACUUCAAAGACAUGCUGGAGAUUCUUUAUAGGAUACUUGAAGGCCCUGACGUUCGCAAACUCCAGAGGAAAAAUUGGGACGAGAGAAGAUAUGAAACGUUGGGAUCCGCAGAUGGUAAAAAAGGAAAACUAGGCAGGGAUGAUAAGCAAAAAGUCCGGAAGGAGAGGUUGAAGAAAACCGUUGCCAAGGCAAGAAAAGCCUUGGACAAGUAUAACCACGAUUCUGAUUACCAAUUCUUGUGUGAUAAAAUCUCUGAUUUUUUUGCGGAGCUGUUGAGAGCAGAUUUGGGAUUUUAUCAUGAGGGAAACCUGCAUAAGAUCAGCCUUGCAUCAAAAUGGUGUCCUUCUCUUGAUUCGUCGUACGAUAGAGCAACACUUAUAUGUGAAAGUAUUGCACGGAAGCUUUUCCAUGUUGAAGAUUAUGUUGAAUACCAAGACAUGAAGGAUGCUCAUUAUGCCUUCAGGGUUCGAGAUAGGCUAAGAAGGGAAGUUCUUGCUCCACUCCACAAGGCUCUGGAGUUGCCGGAGGUUUAUAUUUGCGCGAAUAAAUAGAAAACCCUUCCAUAUAAGAGGGUGGCAUCAGUUGCGCUGAAUCUUUACAAGGAUUUGUUCUACAAGCAUGACAGAGAACGAUUUGAAGGGUAUCUUGCAGAUGUAAAGAGUGGGAAAACGACUAUUGCUGCAGGAGCAUUGCUUCCUCACGAGAUUAUCAAAUCGUUGGAUGAUGCAACAGGGCCAGAAGUAGCAGAGCUUCAAUGGAAAAGGAUGGUGGAUGAUCUAGCCCAGAAGGGGAAAUUAACCAAUUGUAUGGCUAUUUGUGAUGUAUCAGGGAGUAUGAGAGGGAUCCCAAUGUAUGUUUCUGUGGCUCUUGGGCUACUAAUUUCUGAACUAAGUGACGAGCCAUGGAAGGGAAAGUUGAUAACAUUCAGUCAACAACCUCAACUCCAGACGAUUCAAGGGGAAAGCCUUCAACAAAAGACCGGGUUUAUACAAACAAUGGACUGGGGAUGUAACACUGAUUUUCAAAAGGUGUUUGACAAAAUCUUGGAAGUUGCUGUAAGAGGGAAACUGAGGGAGGACCAGAUGAUAAAGAGGCUAUUUGUGUUCAGUGAUAUGGAGUUUGAUCAAGCAUCAGCACAUCCUUGGGAAACUGACCACCAAGUGAUACAGAGGAAGUUUAGGCAAAAUGGUUAUCCAAAAGUUCCUGAAAUUGUUUUCUGGAACCUUAGGAACUCGGUUGCAACUCCUGUGCCUAGUGACCAAGAAGGUGUGGCUCUUGUCAGCGGAUUCUCCAAGAAUCUCGUAACCCUGUUUCUGGAGGAAGGUGGGAUUUUAAACCCGGAAGCUGUGAUGCUACAUGCUAUCUCAGGCGAAGAGUACCAGAAACUUGUUAUCUAUGACUGAGAAAUUGAAAUUAUACUUUGUUUGCUGAAAGAUGAUCAAGUUUUUUGCUGGGAAUCAAUAGGAACAAUUCAUUUCAGCUUUGGUUUUGAAUUUUUGUUGCAACUUUGUAGUAUAUAUGAUUCAUUACUUCUCACCAUCCUGCUAAGUUCGUUGGUGCUAAUCCAAGUGCUUUAUCAAUCCAAUGCCACAAAGAUGUAAAACAAAAAGCAUCUGUUACCCAUAUUGCUUGGUACUUCAAUCCAAAUUAACCAUGUUCAAUCCAAAUACCAACAGUCCAUGUUACUGCACAUGCCUUGUACGAACCAUCAAUGCUAAUGUGCAUAUGGCUUGAUUGUAUACUCAGUUAAUUCAAGGCUACACCAACCUCCUCCAAACAUGGACUGUCUAAUUAGAACAAAGAUCAAACAUGUUAUGUGUAUAUGAUGUAGUAAAAAGUAUGAGAUGCAACGCAACCUUGUUUUCUCGUGAAGCUAUUUUGGUUAUUGGCCAGUAAUUUUAUUUGCCAAAAAUACAAAAUAAAAUGAAAAUUUGAAAGUUAAGUAAAAAUGCAAAAAAAAAAAAAAAAAGUCGUUGAUGAAGUGUUUUUAGUUUUUACAUUUUGUCCUUUUCUUGGUUUUGUCAGGCACCUGGAUUAAACUCUUCCGAGUCAGCCACCACGUGUCAAUUGCUGAGGCUUUAAGUCGGUUUGAAGCUUUUGCAGAAUAGAUCCGCCCACACGGGGUCUAGAAAAAGAACCAAUUACAGUUAAAAACGCGUUCUCCAAGACUGUAAUCCGAAACGUGGCAUGGUCGGUUCUUGUACACUAGGUGUAGAGUAUUGAAAACCUCUCCGAUUUUCCCUGCUCGCUACUCUUUCGCGAUUACUAUAUUAAAUCUCUACGCCAACGGCCAUUCUCCUCAUCUUCCGAUCGCGCAUCCAACAAAGCCCCCAAUCAACCAUGCCUGCCGCCUUGCGCCUUCUUGGUCCACCAGAGCUCCGCCAUGCACAACCGUCGGUCUCCUCCGCGGACGGCGUCGAAACCGCCAACUCAGCCACUGUUAUGUCUCCAGAAAACCCUUUUAAAUUCCCUACUGAAAACCAGAAUCCAACCCCACAGGAUCUAAUCGACAUGAUCAACACCCAGUACAAAGGCCUAAAUAUUGAUCGUCAUCCAUUUAUGGGUUUUACUGAGAAUAUGUCCCCAACCUUUCUCUCUUCUGGAAACCCAUGUUUGGAUUUCUUUUUCCAUGUGGUCCCCGACACCAAGCCGGAAGAUCUGAUCGGACGGCUUCAAUUGGCCUGGGCACAUAACCCGUUGACCACCUUGAAAUUGAUUUGUAAUCUCAGGGGUGUUAGGGGAACUGGGAAAUCUGAUAAGGAAGGAUUUUACAUGGCAGCUUACUGGCUCCAUUGCUUUCAUCCUAAAACUUUGGCUUGUAAUCUGAGGGCCAUUGCUGAUUUUGGUUACUUUAAGGAUUUCUUUGAAAUUCUUUAUAGGAUUCUAGAAGGACCUUUGAUUAGAAAGAUUGAGAAACAUGAGAGGAUGAUGGUGAAAAGAAGGGAAAAUGAUGUGGAAAGUAUGGGGAUGUAUUGUGGGAGAAGAGGGGGAAGAUUCAGGAGGGGUAAUCGAAAUACGACUCAGAAAGAAAAGGAGGAGAAAAAAGGUAAGACUCAGGAGGAGAUUAAAGAGGAGCAAGAAAAUGCAAGGGUUUUGAGGAGGGAAAAGGAGUUUAUCAAAGCGAAAAAGGGAUUGGAGAAGUAUAAUGCUGAUGAAAAAUAUAGGCUCUUGCAUGAUACAAUCUCUGAUUUCUUUGCUGAGCUUUUGAGGGCCGAUUUUGAGAAUUUGAAUGCAGGGAAACUUGGUAACAUUAGCUUGGCUGCUAAAUGGUGUCCAACUGUUGAUUCUUCUUAUGAUAAGGCCACUCUGACGUGUGAAAGUAUUGCUAGAAGAAUGUACCCCAAGGAAAAGUUUCCGGAGUAUGAAGGAAUUGAGGAGAGUCACUAUGCUUAUAGGGUGAGGGAUAGGUUGAGGAAAGAAGUGCUUGUACCACUGCAUAAGGCAUUGGAACUGCCUGAGGUGUAUAUGAGCGCAAACCAAUGGAAUUCGCUUCCAUACAAAAGGGUUGCCUCCGUGGCAAUGAAGAACUACACGAAGGUGUUUUUUAAGCAUGAUGAGGAAAGGUUUAAGGGAUAUCUUGAGGAUGUGAAGAGUGGAAAGGCGAAAAUCGCCGCUGGUGCAUUGCUUCCCCAUGAGAUUAUUGGGGCUUUGGAAGAUGGGGUUGGUGGGGAAGUCGCGGAGCUUCAGUGGAAAAGAUUGGUUGAUGAUAUGGUUAAGAAGGGGAAAUUGAGUAAUUGUAUAGCUGUUUGUGAUGUUUCUGGUAGCAUGUAUGGGAUACCAAUGGAGGUGUCUGUGGCCUUAGGAGUAUUAGUAUCAGAAUUGAGUGAAGAACCAUGGAAAGGUAAAUUGAUCACAUUCAGUGACGAUCCUCAACUUCAGAAGGUGGAGGGAGAGACCCUUCUAGAGAAGACUAAGUUUGUGAGAGAGAUGGACUGGGGUGGGAGCACAAAUUUUCAGGGAGUAUUUGAUAGGAUUUUGGAGGUUGCAGUUGAGGGAAAACUGAGUCAGGAACAGUUGAUUAAGAGAGUGUUUGUAUUUAGUGAUAUGGAGUUUAAUGAAGCAUCAAUGAAUCCUUGGGAGACGGAUUAUCAAGCCAUACAGAGGAAAUUCAGGGAAAAUGGCUACCAGAAUGUGCCAGAGGUUGUGUUUUGGAACCUUAGAGAUUCAAGGUCCACCCCAGUUUUGGCUAAUCAGAGUGGUGUGGCGCUAGUGAGUGGCUUUUCCAAGAAUCUGUUGACUAUGUUUCUGGAGGGCGGUGGAGUGGUGAACCCUGAAGAGGUCAUGGAGCUUGCCAUUGCUGGUGAAGAAUACAAGAAACUAGCUGUUUUUGAUUGACAUGUUGAAUUUAACUUAUAAAUUAGUUUGAUUUUGCCUUUGUUGUAGCUGCCUGAUGGCCUUGUCUUGUGGUUGGUACUUAGAUAAUUGUUAACAACUUACAGGAGGCUUUGGUUAUGGUUCUCUUUUGGAGCUGUUCUCAACUUUUCAAUGAAAAUGCUAAUUUAUAUGGUUUUCCAUUGUACUACUUUGGUUUCUGUUUCUUGUUAAUUUCAUCUAUUUACAGUAUCAUGUUAACUAGUAUGUGACUGUUUGCUUGAAAUGCUGGUCUUUGCUAAUGAUUUUACGGUACAUGAUAAAAUGAAGCAAUUGAAUGUCUUUAUCUCCAUAAAUGAACACUUAUUCCUGGAAGCUGAAGAAUGGUGGAAGUCCUUUUCUGAAAUCAAAUAAUGCCAGAAAAGCUUUUCUAAACUCAAGAAAAUACUGGGCUCAAUUCUCCCUUCCCCCCCUCCUGGCCUCCCUAGUUUGAAAGAUACAUAGCAAUAAUAAGAAUAUACUGUUGAUUUCCUAUCAAAGAAGAGGUAAGCACUUGAAUAUUUAGUUCUAAUUUUCUGGAAUGCAUAGCUGAAUCAGCUGGCAAAUAGUCGGAAGUUGAGGAGCACUUUUAACAGAUUUUGGUGUAGCCCAGUUCUCCAAAAGGAAAUAGCAGACUUUCCACUGCAUUGGUGGUGAGACUUCCGUUUGGGCCCAAAAUUUCGUGUUAGACAUCAGUUCACCUCAUCAGCUCCAAAGUCGUCACAGUGUGCUCGAAAAAUGCUCCACUACAUGUGUUGGCCAAAAGCCCGACUUCCAGCCAGCAACUUUACCUGGACUGAGACCCAUCUUCAUCAAAGAUCCAUGAGAUGUUUCUGAAUUUUCUUCAAUGGAAUAUUUUAUAUUUUGAAAUCUGGAUUGGAUUUUCCAAGAGUUAGUGUUUUUACUUUUAAAUUUGUUAUAGAAUUUACACAGUUGUGCUUAAUCUCAAAAGAUUUAAAUGUUAUAGUAAUUGAAUUGAGGUUUGACAAUCAUGGUAGAAAACUUGAAAGAACUGGAACAAUGGAUUGUCAAAUUCUACAUGUAAAAGUUGUAUCUUGUUUUGGGAUAGUAUCAUUAAUACUUUCAUCUUCACAUAUGUGUCCUCACUGCCUUCACUCGGAGCAGGUACAUGUCUCACGAACUUAUGGGUCUAAACAUUUUCGUGCGAGUUUGGUAACGAACAACAAAGUGAACAAAUGAUUGGCAAUUACAGAUAAAGAUAAGUUGUCUAAAACAAAGCUUCAGACAUAACUGUGUAAAAGUUUAACUUACAUAAUCACAUUGUUUAUGCUUCAAAUGGGAAAAUUUUAGGAUUAAUCUUUCCUACACUUACAGUGUAUACAUUGUCAGUAUUAGAUAAAUGACAACUAUGUAAAUUUUGAAUUUGAAAUUUAAUUUUUGCACAUAUGUUAUGGAUUCAACGGUGAUAGUGUAUGCACUAUCAGUGUAUAUAAGAUUUACUCAAAGUUUUGUGGGCUCAGGAAGUAUUCCCUCAAUUUGCAUUUCUGAUGAUCAUAUUAUUUUAUAAUUUAAAUGAUUGAAAUUGUAACAAUGUAAAGGGUCAAAAAUACGUAUUUUAUCAAUCAACGGUGAAUUUAACUUAAAAGUAUGAUAUUCAAAAAAAGACUAUAGAAUCUCCCUUUAAAAGGUCCUGCUAACAAUUUUCUUAUAAUUGUAUGAUCGAAAAAUAUUAAAUUUGACUGAAGCCCCAUUUGAUUAAAUUGAAGUCUGAAAUUUAAAUUUUGAAAUCUGAAAAUUAAGUGUUGAAUGUAUUAAAUUGCUGAACUGAUAAAGUUACAUCUUCUAGGUAACUAACUGAAUUAUAGCACUAAAUUGAAAUAUCGUACAAAUAUUAUACUUACACCGUUUUAAAAAAAUUGCCUUUUUUGUAUAUUUGGAGAAAAAAGAAUGUUUUGUGUGAGAGAAAAUAGUUAAAUAAUUAAGAAAUUGUACUUAAGUAUGUGUAUUUGUAUGUAUCUCUGCAUGUAUAUAUGUGUGUGUCGAGUAUAGCGAGAGCAAAUGUAUAAUUUAUGUAAGAGUGUGUAUAAGAGUGUUAUAUGUGUAAGAGUUGUAAUAUAUGUGAUUAAUUCAGAAGAUUUUGUAAAAAAAUUUCACUUAAAAUUUUGUAUACCAAAUAAGCAGUACUUAAUAUAUAAAGUAGUUAGACAUUUCAGUUAUCAAACAUACUGUAUUCAAAAUUUUUUAAAUAAAUUAAUUUUCAACAUUAAGUUGAAUUAUCAAAUAGGAAUAAAGACUAAAGUUCCGUUUGAUAAAACUGAAUCUGAAUUCCGAUGUUUGAAUUCUGAAAUCUGAACACUGAAACAAUUAAUUUGCUGAAUUUUAAGCACUGAAAAGAAAUAUAUGAAUGUCUAAAUUUUAAUAUUAAACUUAUUUAUAUUGUUUGAUAAAUAUUUAUAACUGAAUGCUUAAUAAGUUUAAUUUAACAAUUUUGCCCUUAUAUCUUUUCAUUCAAAAGAGAAAUAGAACCUAUGAUUUAAUUAGAUUAAAAUUGUGGUAUGAAAAUGAUAAUAUUUAUUUUUAAAUCAAAUUAACAUAAAAGAUGAAAUAUAUUAUAUGCAGAGUAUGGAGAAGUUGUGAAAGUUAUUAAAAAGGGAGAAAGAGAAACAGAAAAUCGUUAGAUAACGAAUAUCAGGUUGUUUAAUUAGAUAAGAAUUUUGAAUAUAAUUAACAAACAAGGGUAGAUUUAGUAGAUAAGAUAAGGUAUUUGAAGUAAUUCUAUUGAUUAUUAUCAGAAUUAAGCAUUCAAUUAGGAUUUUUGUGCUGAAAAAAAUGCACACAAGUUCAGCACUGCUUAACAAAUUCAGCAGAUGGAUUUUCGUUUAUCAAACACUCAAAACAUCUGAAUGUUUGAAAAGAUUCAAUUUCAACACUUUUUAUGUUAUCAAACAAAGCCUUAACCGAUAUGUUUUACAUUAUGUAAGAGCAUAAACUUUGACUCCUAACUCCUAAGUGCGAAAAAGUGAGAAUGAGAUCUCUUUUCCGGCUGCUAUACUGUGGUCAUCUUUAGGGCUUUAACCUUUAUGGGUUUUAGUCGUAGGUGUUAACUGUAGAUGCUGGACCACAUUUUGGUUUUACUAUCCUCUUUUCCUCCUUUUGGUUAGGGAAAAUACAAGCAAUUCUGGGCUAAUUCCUUAGAUUAUCAAUGAAAAAAAAUUGAUCAAUUAUUGGUCUGAUAAGGGGGUUUUACAAAACUAUGCCUACCUUGCUGACCUUGUACGGCAGGGAGAAGCAUAAUUUUUUUUUUUUUUUUGGUAAUGUUAGAUUCUGAAAAAAAAAAAAAAAAUAGCCAUGACAGCAUUUUUUUUUUUGGGAUACAAAUCUCAUCCCCUGUCAGGCUCGGUGAUUCUCUCUCUCUCUCUCUCUAGUUUUUUUUUUUUAAAGUAACCUGAAGCUUUUUUUUAUUUUAUAAAGUUGUCUCCUGUCGAGCUGAGUCGGUAGGGAUGAUUUUUUUUUUUUUUUUAAAUGGUGCGCCUGAACCAAAGACUUGUGCAUUUUUUAGCUUGAUGGAACUUGUGCUUCUUCAAUUCUCUUAAACCAAAGUACAUUUUUGCAUUAUAAUGUGGAUCAAAAUUCCAAUUAGUGCUGCCCUUUGAAUUUUGCAAAGCAUCUGUACUUGUGUAUCACCUAUUAUUCAUACAAAAGAAUUAUUAACCUAUUGAAUUAGAGUUGUAAUUGUGAAAUCAUAACAGGCCCGAGUUUGACAUAUUCAAUUACUAAUAAGUCCCUUGUUUUCUCCCAGUGUAAAUCGUGGAACCCUAACUUUUACAAUUAAUCUAUGAUCAAUUUGCAGAAUUAUCUAAUUGAAGAAAAAGAUAGGUAAGAGAGGUAGAAAAUUAGAACUCACAAUAACUUUCAUAACAAUAAAGAGCCCGUAGUAGCAUAUAAAAUUUUCUAUUUUUUGCCUUUAAUUUUUUUGUUUUAAAGUACAAUAAUGUUAUAUAUUUCAAAAUACUACAAUAUAACUAAUUAGAUGAAUAAUUUUAGUUAUGCAACUAUAUAUAUAAAAUAUAUAUUCCAAAGUAAAACUCAUGUAAUAAAUAAAAUUAUUAUAUGAGUUGAAUUUUUGAAAUAUAUAUAUAUUGUAGUACAAAUAAAAUUGUAUUUAUAUUCCAAAGUAAAACUCAUGUAACAAAUAAAAUUAUUAUAUGAGUUGAAUUUUUGAAAUAUAUAUAUUGUAGUACAAAUAAAAUUGUAUUUUGAUAUAUAUAUAUAUAUAUAUAUAUAUAUAUAUAUAUAUAUAUAUAUAGCUGCAUAACUAAAAUUAUUCAUCUAAUCAGUUAUAUUGUUGUAUUUUGAAAUAUAUAACAUUAUUGUACUUUAAAACAAAAAAAAAAAAAAGAAGCACAAUUGUAUAAGUCCUUGGUUUAGGCAAAAGAUGCUUAAAACUCCAUCAAACUUGAAGAAUAUCAACAAUCCCAUACUCCUAUAGUAAGAUGAAUAAGAGAAUCCAAUGACAAGUGAUUUUAGAGAAACUUUGUGAGCAAUGAUUUUGAACACAACAUUUUGAGCAAUGAACAUGUGCAUGUGAAACUACUGGUCCUUAUUUCGGCUUUGAUUAGCCGAUCCCUGGUUCAGGUGCACUUUUUUUUUUUCCCUAAAAGAAUCACCUUAGCCCGGCAGCAGGCAGCAUUCUGAAAAUUUAUUAAAAAAAAAUGCUUCAGGUUUUUUUUUUUUUUUCCCAAAAGGAUCACCCCUGCUGCGCUGGAUCACACCGGCAGGGGACAAGAUUUGUUUUUUGAAAAGAAAUGUUGUCAGGCCUUCUUUUUGGAGCAUCUUUUACGAAUAUAUAUAUAUAUACACUUCUCCCUGUCGUACUGACUCUGGCAAGCAUAGUUUUACAAAAGCCUCUUGUCAGAUCAAUAAUUGAUUGAAUUUUUUUCCUUUUUCAUCGAUCAUCUAAGGAAUUAGCCGCAAUUCUGCUAGAUGAUGAUAUUUACAACAAACCUUGUAGUGAAUACAGUAAAAUCAAAGAAGGAAGAACAUUUAAGCUGCUUCUUUUUUUUAAUAUUGGCUGGGGCUUUCCUAUGUGUUGUUGUGCUUUAGAAAUUUUUAUGAUGGUGACCAAACUGCUUAAGAGCACUAUUGAUUAUUUUUUUAAUAUCUAAGAUUAACUUUUUAAUCCAAAACAAACCUCCCUUGUACACAUCUCUUAGUGAAAAGUCAAAAUACGUGUUGAAUGUUUAAACCUGAUUCCAUGCAAAAUCAAAUCACUUUUUUCCCAACCUUUUUGGCUUUUUCCACAAACUUUCAAAGUGGGUAAAUAUCAUCAUCAUCUGUCAUGGAAGAUUGUGCCACGGUCAUCAUUUGCUGCAGGAUAUGUCCCUAUCUACUUUGCAUGAUUUCCCACCAGGGGACCAGUCCAGUAAAUACCAACUAGUCAAGACUUACUAGAUUUUGUUUGGAUAGCCAUUUUUUAUCAAAAAAUUGCAUCAUUUUUUGUAAUUAUAUUUUUUUAUUAUCCUUUUUUCUCAUAUAUAUCAAAUAGUUACAAUAAUUUUUUUAUAAAAAAUUCUAUAAAAUGCAAUCCAAACACAACCUUAAGCUUCUUCACAUGACUUCCCACGGGAGAACCAUUCCAAUAAAAUCUAUCUAGUCAAGACUCAAUAGAUUAUCUAUUAGUAAUUUAUCUUCAUUUGGAUUAGUUGUUUUUGGGGUAUUUUUGAAAAAUUUUACUAUAGCAAAGUUUUUAGAGUAUAUUUUGGGAUAUUUUUAGAAAAUAUUUUGAAAUAUUUAAGAGUAGUAGAGUUUUUAAAAUAUAUCUUGGGAUAUUUUUUAAACAUUAAAAAAAAUUAGACUACUUUUUAGAGUACCUUUUAGAUUACUUUUAAAAAAAUUUUAUAAUAUUUGAAAAACUAGUUUUUGAAAAACUGAAGAAUCCAAACAUCUUAUAUGCUUUCCUUGAAUCGAAACAAACUCCCUCAUUUGCAUCAUUUUUUUUUCUGAAGAUUGUUACUGGUAUUUUUUUUGUGUGAGGGGGAGGGGGGAGGGGGAGGGGACAAUUUUGGAGAUAAAAGAUUCAUAUUCUACAAUAUAAAAUUUAUAGUUCUUUCUUUGUACUUUAAUUAAGAAGUAAGAAUUUUAUAUUUUAUUGCUUCAAAUUAUGGUUGCAAAUAUAUAAACUCAUUGAAUGAAAUAGAUUAUUUUUUGGAGGCACCGAGGGAAACAAAAAUUACACCUAUGACAGAUUACUUCAUAUAGGUAUGAAAAAGUUACGUUUAUGUUACAAUAUUAUUACAUAUGGUUAAAGCAUGAAAUCAAUUUUUUAUCGACAAAUUGAUAACACUAAUGACCCCAAAAAUCAAAUUAAGAUAAAUUCAAAGGGUUGAAAGAACUAUGCUAUUUUUGGAGGAAAAAGUCGGGCGAAAGGGGGACAAGAAAGUAUGCCACAAACUUUCAAAGUAGUUAAAUAUCAUCGUACUCUGUGAUGGACGAUUACAAUCAUUCGAGGCAGAUACAUGAUUUCCCACCAAGCAAUCAUUCUAGUAAAAACCAACCAGUCAAGACUCACUAGAUUGUGUACUUGUAAAUAGGGCAAAUUCCACUUUACCCCCCUGUGGUUUAGCAUUUUUUUACAUAACCCCCCUAUGGUUUCAAAAGCUAUACAUAACCCCCUUAUGGUUUGGAUUAAAGUGUCAAAGUAACGGAAAUAGUCACUCGUAACGGCGUCACCUAAAAUGUCAAAAAUACCCUUAUGUAAGGUUGAAAUUUAUGUAUUAACCAAGGGGGGUUAUGUGUAUAUUUUGAAAAUCAUAAGGGGGUUAUAUGGUAAAGUAUUAAAUCAUAAGGGGGUUAUAUGGUAAAAUAUAAAAAUCAUAGGGGGUUAAUGUGUCAUGUAUUUAUAAGGGUAAUUUCGACAUUUUAAGAAGUUCCGUUACGAGUGACUAUUUCCGUUACUUUGACACUUUAAUCCAAACCAUGAGGGAGUUAUGUAUAGCUUUUGAAACCAUAGGGGGUUAUGUAAAAAAAGGGUAAAUCACAGGGGGGUAAAAUGUAAUUUACCCUUGUAAAUAUGUCAUUAAUCCCACUUCUGCUAACAAAAUCCAAUAUAUAUCUAAGUUUCUUCUUUUAAAUCAUCGUCUUAAAAACAUUCUGCAUUAUUUACAUCGAAAAUAAACUACCUCACCUCUAAGUUCUAUCACCCUUUAUUUAUUCACAAAAGUUGUACUCUAAAAAGGUAAUGGUUCACAAGUCUGUUACAAUAAUAAUUUUGGUUUAAUUUUACUAGAAAGAAUAUAUAAUUUACUUCCUAGGUACGUCCGUUACUUUGGUAUAUAGUUAGUUCUAACAAUAGCCUCUGACUAUCAACUGAAUAAAAAAAGAAAAAAAAAACCUUCAAACUUGUGACUCUACAUUUUCUACAAUGAAUAUUCCAAGUUAAGCAUGCUUUCACUACCGAUCGCUCAAAAAGAAGGCAUUCAUACCUUCUAAAUCAUAAUACACAUUAACUGGAUGUUUGAUUUGGUAAAAUUGUCAUGCAUGGGAAUAUCAUUGCUGGGGGUUAUCUAAUUUUGCGACGUAGUUCAUGGAGCGAGUGAUACAAUUAAUUGGUCUGUUUGGAUUGUAAGUUAUUUGGGAUUAUUUGAGAUAUUUUUACUGUAGCAUUUUUUGUAAUGUGAUGUAUGUGAGAUAAAAAGAUAUUGGGAAGAUAAAAAGAUGUAUUGGAAAUUGUAAAAAUGAUGUAAGCAAAUAAAAUUGGAAAAAUAUGAAGCAAUUCAAACAAACCCAUUCAAGAGACUGUAACAUGACUACACGGGUAAGAAAACAAUCAUAUAUUCGAGUUAUAAAUGUUUGUAAUUGAUAGGUGCCACCCUGCCCCAGGUGACGAGUAGUAAGAAUUUUAGGUAGAAUUGAUUGGUCCCAUGAGUUGAAAACGUUGAUGAUUUCCGUUUGUUAUGCGCAUGGGUGCAAGUACAAACAAGCUUGUCAGUUUUAUAUCAGUUGACAAUUUGGAGAGUUUGAAGCUGAUCAGAGAAGAAAAUAAGUCCAUGCAAAUCUCGCGACAGGCGUCCAAGGGAAACUUGAGGUUAUAUGGUAUUUUGUACAACUUAUGACACUGACACAAGUAGAAGAAGCAUAAGUAAAAUGCAACAAAGGGGUCGAAAAUGACGCACAAAAACAGUAAAAACUACAAUUGCUUCUUGAAGAAGGGCUAAAGGUUUCCAAACUUAAACCUGCAAGCAGGCUUUUGUUGGCCAUCAUGUUGAGUAUCUGAUUGAUUAUAUCCCUUGGUAUAGAUAAUUAUUGUGGGCCUUUUCUCAAAGCUUUUGUAUUUAGGCUGGAAUCCAUGUCCUUUAAUAUUCGGUGCAUGGGGCACCAUCUUAACGAGGAUUAUCAAUUGAAAAAAACCUCCUAGCAUAAACCUACCCGCUUUUUGGCUAGCCAAGACCCUACAUUUGUCACAUGCAUGGUAGCUUGAAAACCAUCUUUAUCCCCACUAACACAAUAAUGAAUGAACCAAUAAUACAGCUUUUUGCACGAAAACCAAAAAAUCAUAGCUGUAAAAUUGUUGAAAGUUCUUCUAUGAACCCGUGCUGCAUGGACCAUCUCACAGUAGACCGUAAGCCCUCAACUAUUAGUGACACCAAAAUUCGUCAUAAACUCAAUAUUAAUUUCUCAUCAAUGCUCAAUGUGAAAUUGUUCGUAGGCAGCUUCAGUAAUGGAUAGAAUGAGAAACAACUCAGUAAUGCCAUAGACAUAUCUAUUAGUAUUAUAAAGGUGGAUCAAGUGGAAAGUAAAUACAUCUCAUGAAACGCAUAUUGCCAACAUCAGCUCUUAUUCUAGUAACUAAUCUUAUUACACAUGUUGAUGAAGCUGCAAAGGCAACUCAGUAAGGUGGUGGCGGGUAGUGACCAUAAGGUGGUGGCUUCUUGUGAAUUGGUGCCGGAGUUGGUGGCAACUUUGGUGGCUGGGGAACAUAAGGUGGCAACUUUGGUGGCUGGGGAACAUAAGGUGGUGGCGGGUAGUGACCAUAAGGUGGUGGCGGGUAGUGACCAUAAGGUGGUGGCUUGUGUGGCGGCUUGUGAGGUGGGUAGUGACCAUGAGGUGGCAGCUUGUGUGGCGGCUUGUGAGGUGGGUAGUGACCAUAAGGUGGUGGCUUCUUGUGAAUUGGUGGCAACUUUGGUGGCUGGGGAACAUAAGGUGGUGGCUUGUGUGGCGGUUGUGAGGUGGGUAGUGACCAUAAGGUGGUGGCUUCUGGUGAAUUGGUGGCGGAGUUGGUGGCUUAAUUGGUGGCCUGAUGAUAAUGGGAGGCAGCUUUGGUGGCUGGGGAACAUAAGGUGGCGGGUAGUGACCAUAAGGUGGUAGCUUGUGUGGCGGCUUGUGAGGUGGGUAGUGACCAUAAGGUGGUGGCUCCUUGUGAAUUGGUGGCGGAGUUGGUGGCAACUUUGGUGGCUGGGGAACAUAAGGUGGCGGCUCGUGAGGUGGGUAGUGGCCAUAAGGUGGUGGCUUCUUGUGAAUUGGUGGCAGCUUUGGUGGCUGGGGAACAUAAUGUGGCGGCUUGUGAGGUGGGUAGUGGCCAUAAGGUGGUAGCUCCUUGUGAAUUGGUGGCGGAGUUGGUGGCAACUUUGGUGGCUGGGGAACAUAGGGUGGCGGCUCGUGAGGUGGGUAGUGACCAUAAGGUGGUGGCUUCUUGUGAAUUGGUGGCAGCUUUGGUGGCUGGGGAACAUAAUGUGGCGGCUUGUGAGGUGGGUAGUGACCAUAAGGUGGUAGCUCCUUGUGAAUUGGUGGCGGAGUUGGUGGCAACUUUGGUGGCUGGGGAACAUAAGGUGGCGGCUCGUGAGGUGGGUAGUGGCCAUAAGGUGGUGGUUUAUGGUGAAUUGGUGGCUUGGGCUCGACCGGAGGCUUCACGACUGGAGGUGGAUAGUGGAUUGGCUCUGGAGGCUUCUUGUACGGUGGAGGAUGGUGAUGCUCAUAUGGGGGUGCUCCGGAAUAAUCAGCCAAAGAGGGAGUGGUGAGAAGCACCACCCCAAUCAAGAAUGCCCAGAAGCAUGCAAGAGAUGACAUGAUUGAGUUUGCAAUACUCGAUGCAAUUUGUGAUGGGAUUUGCAUGGCAUUUUAUACUGGAUUUUGGGCUACUAUUCAUAUGGCCAUAUCAACAUUCAAAUUAAAUGUGAUCGACUGUGUUAGCUGAAGAUCUGGCUCAUGUUUGAUGGACUUCAUUAACUUGGGGCCCUUUUGGUGGGAAAAGCUUGACAUUGAGGCAAAAAUGGGUCUGCAUGGAUGAAACUAAGAAAUGAUAGACAUUAUUAUUAUGGAUUAAUUAUAUUUACCUCCCCUGAGGUUUAACCAUAUUACCAAUCAAUCCCUGUAAUUUGUCCAAAUAACGGUCUCACCCUUUAAAUGAUCAAACAUUUAACAAAAACCCUCUUAAUGCCGAAAAUGCCCUUUUUGAAGCCAUAUUGCAUUAAAAAAAGAACAUAUAUUUUAUUUAUUAACCUUCAAGUAAUCCAAAAAAAUAGAAAAAAAUUUUUGCUUAUUAUUUUAUAAAAAUCAUAUCUUUGCCUCCAUAAAUAGUUUUGAAUCAAUAAUUAUUUUAAAUCUUAAAAAUUAGAUAAAUUGAAAGAAAAAUAAAAAAGAAGCAAUUAUUUUAAAUCCUCAAGUAUGGUUCGAAUUUGUGGUUCAAAGCAUGUUGCGGAGAGUACAAGGCAUGUUUUCCUCAAUUUGAACCAUACUUCAGGAAUUAAAAUAAUUUCUUCUUUUUUUAUUUUUCUUUCAAUUUAUCUAAUUUUUAAUAUUUAUUUUUAAGAUUUAAAAUAAUUAUUGAUUCAAAACUAUUUAUAGAAGCAAUGAUAUAGUUUUUAUAAAAUAAUAAGCAAAAACUUUUUUCUAUUUUUUUGGAUUGCUUCAGAGUUAAUAAAAUAAAAAUAUGUUCUUUUUUUUAAUGCAACAUGGCCUCAAUAAGGGCAUUUUCGGCAUUAAGGGGGUUUUUGUUAAAUGUUUGAUCAUUCAAAAGGUGAGACCGUUAUUUGAAUAAAUUAUAGGGAUUGAUUGGUAAUAUGGUCAAACCUCAGGGGAUGUAAAUGUAAUUAACCCUAUUAUUAUUGAUGUGGAAGUUUUGAUGCAGGAAUUUGGCCGAGUAAUUUUAGGGGAAAGCUACAUUAUAUCGGGGGAAAUCUACAUUAUAUCAGCACUUUAACUUUUGAAGAACGUCCGGAUUCAUUUUGCAUGGUAAAAAAAAAAACACGUUUUCAGCCGACAUUUGUAAAUUAUAAAUUGUCAAACAGACGUGUUGAAUUCGGCUAAGACGGUCCAAAUAAACCGACAAAGCUUGCCCUCAAAUCAGAGACAGUGCUAAUUUGUUCUUUUCCUCUGUGUUGUAGUCACUGUCACAACAGAUGGGGUCUUUCAUAUGAUUUUGUUUGAGUUACAUGCCUUGCACCUUGAUAUAGAGAUCCGGCGCAUUAAUUCCUGCUCUAACCAGCAUAAUUUAGCCACCGGUGAGAUAUGGAUAGCUGUUAUUAUAACCUAGCUAAAACAGUACUCUUUUAAGCUUGAAUUAUUGAGUCUUGCAAAAUAAAAUAAAAUAAGAGUGUUGAUAAGAUUAAAAAAAAAAAAAGGGCUGAUGAUAUUGCCACAUAUUUGACUUUAUUGUCAUAUCAAUUUCGAAUUAAAAUGAUUAUAUUAUCCCUCAUCAAUCAAGAAGAAGGGUUGAUUGAUGAUGUGAGAUUUUGCCCUUGUCUGGCCCAAAAAGGGGGGAAAAGAUGGAACACCUUAAUGUUUGUGUAUAUUUUACUUUGAGAAAGGAAUGCUUCAAUUAUUUUGGUUCCUUAUUUAUGUGUUCAUAAACACAUCACACCCCAAAAUAUUGGGUGAGCAACAAUUCGGUUAAUUAAAUUUCCGUCCGAAUUGAAUCGGAUUCAGUUUAUCGAUUUCGGUUAAUACGAUUCUAAUUUGGUUCUCAGUGGCGGUUUCAAAACUUUGAUCUCAAUUUAACCAAUUAACCAAAUUCAAUUUCUUUUAAAUCACAUGUAUUAUUUAUUCUUAUGCUUAAACUUGAUUGACCAAUUAACUGAUUGAUUCUUACUUCUACCCAAAGUAAUGGCUCACAAAUUAUGCGGUUUUUUGGAAUACGGCAUAAAUUUAGGAUCAGUCUUUCUUACAUGAACAUUUACAUUAGGGAUAAUUUUAGAAACUUCCCCUGAGAUUUUCGAUAAUUUCACUUGACUCUCUUGAGGUUUACAUAAUUACGGAGACCUCCUUUGGUG
rnacentral:lncRNA from 1 species